AGAAGAAGAAGAAGAAGAAGAAGAAGAAGAAGAGGAGGAAGGAAGGAAGGGGGCUGGCUACGGACUGUAUGCGGCCGAUCUCUAUUGUUCCUGGCUGCUACCUCCUCCUGCUGCUGCUAGAGGCUAUUGCUGCUCAGUUGUGCAUGCUGCCUGCUACUGCAUGCAGCCCUUGUUUGCUUCACAAAUGAGGUUGUUGUGCACUGCUACUGAUGAUGCUACCCUAAUCCUGUAACUUCUAGUGCAUGUUGCUGCCCUUAUGUUUUUGCUACAUGCAAGGUAAGGAGAUGUUGUCGAAGAGUUCAGAUGCUGAUAUGGCUGUUACACCUAAGAUGGUGGAACCGAUGUUGAGGCAAGAUCGGAUUUCAACGGCGGUUGUGAGGCUUGUGUCUACGAGACACGAGAUUGCUGAUUGAUUUCACUACUGUUAUUUAGUAAAUUCUUGUGAUGUAUAUAUUGAUGUUAUAUGUAAGAGGUAAAUAUUAAACAUGUGGGUUGUUAACAAAUGAAUUUUGUAUGUUGUAAUUUAUCACUUUAGUAAAUCACGAGUGAUAUUUGUAUGAUUUAUUAGCAUACUCUGAUUUUAGAAUGUGAUCUUGGCGGCAUUUGUGAAAUUAA